UACUCCUUUGGGGGGGGCAGCAGUAGGGAAUCUUCCGCAAUGGACGAAAGUCUGACGGAGCAACGCCGCGUGAGUGAUGAAGGCUUUCGGGUCGUAAAACUCUGUUGUUAGGGAAGAACAAGUACGAGAGUAACUGCUCGUACCUUGACGGUACCUAACCAGAAAGCCACGGCUAACUACGUGCCAGCAGCCGCGGUAAUACGUAGGUGGCAAGCGUUAUCCGGAAUUAUUGGGCGUAAAGCGCGCGCAGGCGGUUUCUUAAGUCUGAUGUGAAAGCCCACGGCUCAACCGUGGAGGGUCAUUGGAAACUGGGGAACUUGAGUGCAGAAGAGAAAAGCGGAAUUCCACGUGUAGCGGUGAAAUGCGUAGAGAUGUGGAGGAACACCAGUGGCGAAGGCGGCUUUUUGGUCUGUAACUGACGCUGAGCGCGUAGCUACCCCCU
rnacentral:rRNA from 1 species